rnacentral:rRNA from 1 species
AGUGAACGCUGGCGGUAGGCCUAACACAUGCAAGUCGAACGGCAGCACAGUAAGAGCUUGCUCUUACGGGUGGCGAGUGGCGGACGGGUGAGGAAUACAUCGGAAUCUACUUUUUCGUGGGGGAUAACGUAGGGAAACUUACGCUAAUACCGCAUACGACCUACGGGUGAAAGCAGGGGAUCUUCGGACCUUGCGCGAUUGAAUGAGCCGAUGUCGGAUUAGCUAGUUGGCGGGGUAAAGGCCCACCAAGGCGACGAUCCGUAGCUGGUCUGAGAGGAUGAUCAGCCACACUGGAACUGAGACACGGUCCAGACUACUACGGGAGGCAGCAGUGGGGAAUAUUGGACAAUGGGCGCGAGCAUGAUCCAGCCAUACCGCGUGGGUGAAGAAGGCCUUCGGGUUGUAAAGCCCUUUUGUUGGGAAAGAAAAGCAGCAGGUUAAUACCACGCUGUUCUGACGGUACCCAAAGAAUAAGCACCGGCUAACUUCGUG